rnacentral:siRNA from 1 species
UCAACCAUGGGUGCUGCUAAUCUU